GCCCGUGUGGAGCAAUCGGACCGCGCACUGGACUCACAAUCCAGAGGUUGUUGGUUUGAAUCCCGCGACGGUCG
rfam:Culex pipiens quinquefasciatus supercont3.43 genomic scaffold, whole genome shotgun sequence.